rnacentral:rRNA from 1 species
AUUUUUGGCAAUGGGCGCAAGCCUGACCAAGCAACGCCGCGUGGGUGAUGAAGUAUCUUGGUACGUAAAACCCUUUCGGCAGGGACGAAACCAAUGACGGUACCUGCAGAAGAAGCCCCGGCUAACUCCGUGCCAGCAGCCGCGGUAAUACGGGGGGGGCAAGCGUUGUUCGGAAUUACUGGGCGUAAAGGGCGCGUAGGCGGUCAGAUAAGUCAGCUGUGAAAACCCCCAGCUUAACUGGGGGCCUGCAGUUGAAACUGUCCGGCUAGAGGGUGGGAGAGGAAAGUGGAAUUCCCGGUGUAGCGGUGAAAUGCGUAGAUAUCGGGAGGAACAUCGGUGGCGAAGGCGGCUUUCUGGACCACCCCUGACGCUGAGGCGCGAAAGCUAGGGGAGCAAAC